rnacentral:tRNA from 1 species
GUGUGCGUNAUUUAAAGAAAAUAUCAAGCU